rnacentral:rRNA from 1 species
UACGUAGGGGGCAAGCGUUGUCCGGACUUACUGGGCGUAAAGCGUGUGCAGGCGGGCCGCUAUGUGCCGUGUGAAAGCUCUCAGCUUAUCUGGGAGAGGUCGCGGUAGACAGGCAGCCUGGAGGCUCGGAGAGGUCAGUGGAAUUCUCGGUGUAGUGGUGAAAUGCGUAGAUAUCGAGAGGAACACCUGCGGCGAAGGCGGGUAGCUGGGCCGACACUGACGCUGAGGCGCGAAAGCCAGGGGAGCGAACGGG